rnacentral:rRNA from 1 species
UACGGAGGGUGCGAGCGUUGUCCGGAAUCAUUGGGCGUAAAGGGCGCGUAGGUGGCCCGGUCAGCGUGCGGUGAAAGCUCGGGGCUCAACCCCGAGUCGGCCGUGCGAACUGCUGGGCUUGAGCACUGUAGAGGCAGGCGGAAUUCCGGGUGUAGCGGUGGAAUGCGUAGAGAUCCGGAAGAACACCGGUGGCGAAGGCGGCCUGCUGGGCAGUGGCUGACACUGACGCUGAUGCGCGAAAGCCAGGGGAGCGAACGGG